rnacentral:rRNA from 1 species
UACGGAGGAUGUGAGCGUUAUCCGGAUUUAUUGGGUUUAAAGGGUGCGUAGGCGGACUGUCAAGUCAGCGGUAAAAUUGAGAGGCUCAACCUCUUCCCGCCGUUGAAACUGGUGGUCUUGAGUGGAUGAGAAGUACGCGGAAUGCGUGGUGUAGCGGUGAAAUGCAUAGAUAUCACGCAGAACUCCGAUUGCGAAGGCAGCGUACCGGCAUCCAACUGACGCUGAGGCACGAAAGCGUGGGGAUCAAACAGG